AUGGAAACACCAGUUCUCAUCCAAUCACUGAAGUUAAGCAACAUUUAGCUAGGUCAGUAUCUAGAUGGGUGAACACCUGGGAAUACCAGGUGCUGGAAG